UCAAGCUACAAAGAGCACAAGGGGAAUGCCUUGGCAUCGGGAGCCGAAGAAGGACGCGACUAACUGCGAUAAGCUACGGGGAGCCGUAAGUAGGCAUUGAUCCGUAGAUUUCCGAAUGGAGCAAUCCGACUAGAGUCAUGUCUAGUCAUCAUAUACUGAAUAAAAUAGGUAUAUGAGGGGAACCGCCUGAACUGAAACAUCUAAGUAGGGCGAGGAAAAGAAAUCAACCGAGAUUCCGCUAGUAGUGGCGAGCGAACGCGGAAGAGGCCAAACCGAGAGUAGUAAUACUUUCGGGGUUAGGACAGAAAUGUGUACACAGAGGUUUAGCAGAAUUGUAUGGGAAGGCAAACCAAAGAGAGUGAAAGUCUCGUAUGCGAAAAACUAAAGUGGCUAUCUGUAUCCAGAGUACCGCCGGACACGAGGAAUCCGGUGGGAAGAUGGGGGGACCAUCCUCCAAGCCUAAAUACUAACCGAUGACCGAUAGAGAAGAGUACCGUGAGGGAAAGGUGAAAAGCACCCCGGGAGGGGAGUGAAAGAGAACCUGAAACCUUGUGCUUACAAGCACCGAGAGCCCGUCAAAGGGUGAUCGGGUACCUAUUGUAGAAUGGUCCGGCGAGUGAAUGUUACUGGCGAGGUUAAGCACUUAAGGUGUGUAGCCAAAGCGAAAGCAAGUCUGAAUAGGGCGAUUUUAAGUCAGUAGUAUUCGACCCGAAACCGGGUGACCUACCCAUGUCCAGGUUGAAGUGGAGGUAAAACUCCAUGGAGGACCGAACCGACUCCCGUUGAAAUGGUAGCGGAUGAGGUGUGGGUAGCGGAGAAAUUCCAAUCGAACCCGGAGAUAGCUGGUUCUCUCCGAAAUAGCUUUAGGGCUAGCCUCGGAAUAGAUUACUGGAGGUAAAGCACUGAAUGGGCUAGGGGCCGAGAGGUUACUGAACCCUAUCAAACUAAGAAUGCCAGAUAAUUGUUUUCCGGGAGUCAGACGGCGUGAGAUAAGUUUCGUCGUCAAAAGGGAAAGAGCCCAGACCCACAGCUAAGGUCCCAAAGUAUAGUUAAGUGGAAAAGGAUGUGGGGUUGCCCAGACAACCAGGAUGUUGGCUUAGAAGCAGCCACUCAUUAAAAGAGUGCGUAAUAGCUCACUGGUCGAGUGACCCUGCGCCGAAAAUUCAACGGGGCUAAAUUAUACACCGAAGCUUGGGAUACCGCAAGGUAUGGUAGGAGAGCGUUCUGUAAGGAGUGAAGUGAGAGCGAAAGCGUUCGUGGACUUUACAGAAGUGAGAAUGCCGGAAUGAGUAGCGAGAAAUAUGUGAGAAUCAUAUUGGCCGAAAGUCUAAGGUUUUUGGAGGAAGGUUCGUCCGCUCCAAGUAAGUCGGGAGCUAAGGUGAGGCCUAACGGCGUAGCCGAUGCACAUACGGUAGAUAUUCCGUAACCACCGAAAGAUUUAAACACAGGGACACCUUGAAAGGGCAUAUCCCGGGAGUUGGUUUACCCGGGCGUAAGGGAUCGAAAUUUGAGUAGAGAAGUAUGUUUGGACGAGGGCGAGAAAAGCUGUGUGUAUAUUUUAGGUGCCCGUACCGCAAACCGACACAGGUGGACAGGAAGAGGAUUCUAAGGCCAACGGGAGAAGGGUAAUUAAGGAACUCGGCAAAUUGACCCCGUAACUUAGGGAUAAGGGGUGCUCAUAGAAAUAUGAGCCGCAGAGAAUAGGCCCAGGCAACUGUUUAUCAAAAACACAGGUCUCUGCCAAAUCGAAAGAUGAAGUAUAGGGGCUGACACCUGCCCGGUGCUGGAAGGUUAAGAGGAGGAGUGAGAGCUCCGAAUUGAAGCCCCAGUAAACGGCGGCCGUAACUAUAACGGUCCUAAGGUAGCGAAAUUCCUUGUCGGGUAAGUUCCG
rnacentral:rRNA from 1 species